UACGUAGGCAGCGAGCGUUGUUCGGCGUUACUGGGCGUAAAGGGUGUGUAGGCGGUUCUUUUAGUUUGGUGUGAAAUCUCCCGGCUCAACUGGGAGGGUGCGCCGAAUACUGAGGGACUAGAGUGCGGGAGAGGAAAGUGGAAUUCCUGGUGUAGCGGUGAAAUGCGUAGAUAUCAGGAGGAACACCGGUGGUGUAGACGGCUUUCUGGACCGUAACUGACGCUGAGACACGAAAGCGUGGGUAGCAAACAGG
rnacentral:rRNA from 1 species